rnacentral:rRNA from 1 species
CCCUUAGAUGUUCUGGGCCGCACGCGCGCUACACUGACGGAGUCAACGAGUUGUCCUGCAUCGGAAGGUGUGGGUAAUCUUUUGAAACUUCGUCGUGCUGGGGAUAGAUCUUUGCAAUUUUCGAUCUUGAACGAGGAAUUCCUAGUAAGCGUGAUUCAUCAGAUCGCGUUGAUUACGUCCCUGCCCUUUGUACACACCGCCCGUCGCUACUACCGAUUGAAUGGUUUAGUGAGGCCUCGGGACUGACGCGCUCGAGUAGCAAUACACCUGCGCGCCGGGAACUUGGUCAAACUUGAUCAUUUAGAGGAAGUAAAAGUCGUAACA